AAGUAUGCCAGAGCGUAAAUUUUUCACUAUUCUUUCGCCUUUUACUAAAGAAUACCGUGUGUUCUCCACGCUAAGUGGCAUACGCCUAUUUUUGGAGGGUCCUGCUUUCGAGUGGGCCC
rnacentral:snRNA from 14 species